ACAAAAUAUAACAAUUUAUUAUAAAUAAGUAGCACUUACAAUGUUGCAAGUUAAAACCAGCGUGUCUCCACUCCAGGUGGUAUUCACAUGCAAUAACUGAUCCAAUGGCAGCACAGGAUAUUAGACAGCAGCAAAGAAUGGAGAGUACAAAUAAACAAUAAAAUAAAUGAAUAAAAAGUAGAAUAAAAAGUUCCAACGCGUUUCGUCCGUCUAGGG